AACGCUAGCUACAGGCUUAACACAUGCAAGUCGAGGGGCAUCAGGGUAGCAAUACCGCUGGCGACCGGCGCACGGGUGAGUAACACGUAUCCAACCUACCGUUAACUCGGGGAUAGCCUUUCGAAAGAAAGAUUAAUACCCGAUAGUAUAUUUUCUUCGCAUGUUGAAAAUAUUAAAGAAUUUCGGUUAUCGAUGGGGAUGCGUUCCAUUAGGCAGUUGGCGGGGUAACGGCCCACCAAACCUACGAUGGAUAGGGGUUCUGAGAGGAAGGUCCCCCACAUUGGAACUGAGACACGGUCCAAACUCCUACGGGAGGCAGCAGUGAGGAAUAUUGGUCAAUGGACGAAGGUCGGAACCAGCCAAGUAGCGUGAAGGAUGACUGCCCUAUGGGUUGUAAACUUCUUUUAUAUGGGAAUAAAGUUCUCCACGUGUGGAGUUUUGUAUGUACCAUUAUGAAUAAGCAUCGGCUAACUCCGUGCCAGCAGCCGCGGUAAUACGGAGGAUGCGAGCGUUAUCCGGAUUUAUUGGGUUUAAAGGGAGCGUAGGUGGACUGGUAAGUCAGUUGUGAAAGUUUGCGGCUCAACCGUAAAAUUGCAGUUGAUACUGUCAGUCUUGAGUACAGUAGAGGUGGGCGGAAUUCGUGGUGUAGCGGUGAGAUGCUUAGAUAUCACGAAGAACUCCGAUUG
rnacentral:rRNA from 1 species